rnacentral:rRNA from 1 species
UUAGGGCUAGCCUCGCAUUAGUUUACCGGAGGUAGAGCACUGAAUGGUCUAGGGGGCCUCACCGCCUACCGAAACCUAUCAAACUGCGAAUGCCGGAUAAAUGAUGUGCGGGAGUCAGGCCGCGAGAGAUAAGUUCCGCGGUCAAAAGGGGAACACCCCAGAUCGUCUGCUAAGGUCCCUAAGUACGCGUUAAGUGGGAAAGGAUGUUGGAUUGCACAGACAACCAGGAUGUUGGCUUAGAAGCAGCCACACAUUCAAAGAGUGCGUAAUAGCUCACUGGUCGAGUGAUCCAGCGCCGAAAAUGUAACGGGGCUAAAACGCGACACCGAAGCAGCGGGAUGCGUAAGCAUCGGUAGAGGAGCAUUGUGUGAGGGUUGAAGCCAGAGCGGGAGCACUGGUGGACUUCACAGAAGAGAGAAUGCCGGUAUGAGUAGCGAGACCCAUGCGAGAAACAUGGGCGUCGAAGGCCCAAGGUUUCCUGGGGAAGGUUCAUCCGCCCAGGGUAAGUCGGGGCCUAAGCCGAGGACGGAAGUCGUAGGCGAUGGACAGCAGGUGUAGAUUCCUGCACUACCGAUGGAAUGAAGCAGUGACACAGAAGGAUAACUCGAGCAGGGUGAUGGUCAACCCUGUGCAAGCAUUGAGGUUGGGUUGUAGUGAAGUACGCAAUCCUAUAAGCUGAGAUGUGAUGCGGACCGAAAUUUCAGUAGGGAAGCGAGUGAGUUCACGCUGGCGAGAAAAGCUGCUAGUACAUCCAAAGGUACCCGUACCGGAAACCGACGCAGGUGGGCGAGGAGAGAAUCCUGAGACGAACGGGAGAACCCUUGUUAAGGAACUCGGCAAAAUGACCCCGUAACUUCGGGAUAAGGGGUGCCUGCGAGAGCAGGCCGCAGAGAAUAGUCACAAGCGACUGUUUAGCAAAAACACAGGUAUCUGCGAAAGCGAGAGCUGACGUAUAGGUGCUGACACCUGCCCGGUGCUGGAAGGUUAAGGGAACAUGUUAGAGCAAUCGAAGCAUCGAACCGAAGCCCCAGUAAACGGCGGCCGUAACUAUAACGGUCCUAAGGUAGCGAAAUUCCUUGUCGGGUAAGUUCCGACCCGCACGAAUGGUGUAACGACUUGUGAGCUGUCUCAACAGGGGGCCCGGUGAAAUUGAAGUAUGGGUGAAGAUGCCCAUUACCCGCGACUGGACGGAAAGACCCCGUAGAGCUUUACUGCAGCCUGAUAUUGAGUUUCGGUAACUGAUGCACAGGAUAGGUGGGAGUCUGAGAGACAUGGGUUUCGGCUCGUGUGGAGACGCUGUUGGGAUACCACUCUUCGGUUACUGAAAUUCUAACAUAGCUCUGUGAAACCAGAGGAUGGACAGUGUCAGGUGGACAGUUUGACUGGGGCGGUCGCCUCCGAAAGAGUAACGGAGGCGCCCAAAGGUACCCUCAGAAUGGAUGGAAACCAUUCGAAGAGCGCAAAGGCAGAAGGGUGCCUGACUGCGAGAGUGACAACUCGAGCAGAGACGAAAGUCGGGCUUAGUGAUCCGGCGGUAUUGAGUGGAAAAGCCGUCGCUUAACGGAUAAAAGCUACCUCGGGGAUAACAGGCUGAUCUCCCCCAAGAGUCCACAUCGACGGGGAGGUUUGGCACCUCGAUGUCGGCUCAUCGCAUCCUGGGGCUGUAUUCGGUCCCAAGGGUUUGGCUGUUCGCCAAUUAAAGCGGCACGCGAGCUGGGUUCAGAACGUCGUGAGACAGUUCGGUCCCUAUCCAUCGUGGGCGUAGGAGUCAUGAGAGGAGCUGUUCCUAGUACGAGAGGACCGGAAUGGACGCACCACUGGUGCAACUGUUGUCGUGCCAACGGCAUAGCAGGGAAGCGAAGUGCGGAUGGGAUAAACGCUGAAGGCAUCUAAGCGUGAAGCCCACCUCAAGAAUAAGACUCCACAAUAGACCCCUGGAGGACUACCAGGUAGAUAGGUCAUCGGUGGAAGCGCUGUAAGGCGUGUAGCUUGAUGAUACUAAUCGGUCGAAAGCUUCAUUUA